GAUGAACGCUGGCGGCGUGCCUAAUACAUGCAAGUCGAGCGCACGGACUUGAUACUUGUAUCUCUUGUGUUAGCGGCGGACGGGUGAGUAACACGUGGAUAACCUACCUUUAAGACUGGGAUAACUUCUGGAAACCAGUGCUAAUACCGCAUAAUAUCUUUAACCACAUGGUUCAAGAUUGAAAGAUGCACUUGCUUCACUCAAUAGAUAGAUCCGCGUUGCAUUAGCUAGUUGGUAAGGUAACGGCUUACCAAGGCAACGAUGAAUAGCCGACCUGAGAGGGGGAUCGGCCAAACUGGAACGGAGACACGGCCAAAACUCCUACGGGAGGAGGAGGAAGGGAACUUUCGGAAAGGAGGGAAGGCCGAACGGGGAAAGGCGGGGGAGGUGAGAAGGGUCUCCGGAUCUAAAAACUUUGUUGUUGGGGAGGACCUUAGGUGGAAGUAAAAGUGCACAACGUGACGGUACCUAACCAGAAAGCGACGGCUAACUACGUG
rnacentral:rRNA from 1 species